rnacentral:lncRNA from 1 species
GUAGCCUGAGGUGGCUGUAGAGGAAGAGGAAUCUGGAUCUGAAUCAGGGGAGUCUGAUGGAGAACCCAAUGGAAAGAGGAAGGGGAAAAAUAAGGGGAAGAAAGGAGGGAAGGGUAAAGGAGGAGAGCACGGGCAUGGCCAUGGUCCUGGAGAAGAGCAUGGCAGAGGAAGAGGGGACGGAGGAAGAGGAGGUGGUGGCGGUGGAAGAGGAGGUGGCGGUGGAAGAGGAGGUCGUGGAGGACAUGACUAAAGUCCUGUUUGUCACCUGCACUUUCACUGCUGUAAGAACCAGCUCCAGGCUGUUAAUGAAUGCUUGAUGUGUCAAUAAUUAAUAAAAGUUUAUUACAAUGGAGUUUGCUGACGGGU